AAACCGGCCCCUAAGUUUUGCAACUCUGGCAGUUUUGGCCCCCCAAUAGCACUUUUUGGUAAAGAAAAAUAACACGCGGCGCCUCACUUAAGGUGCCACGUGAGCGUAGACCGAGUCAAAAUUGACCUUGGGGGUCAAAACUGCCACAUAUGCAAAACUUAGGGGACAGUUU
rnacentral:pre_miRNA from 1 species